GUUCAAUCUCCCAGCCCCUUCUUCCUUUGCGGUCAUCACCUUUCGUGGAGGGGACACGGCGCCAUGGUAACAGGAACCAAGAACUUGGCAAGAGCACAGCCAGAUGACUCAUCUUGCCCUGAUAGCUGGGGCCUCAUCCGGAAUAACACACAUGUCAAGGACUGGAGCAGCUGAGGGCUGGGUGAGCACCUUUUCUCUCUCCAGUGCAGUCUUGCAGCCUGCUGUGUCAUGAACUAAGAACGCCCAUGAGCUAAGCACAGUUUUAAAAUGUAUUAACGUUUUAAAAAGAAUCUGAAGAAGAAUAAAGCCCCAUGAGGUCUGAAAGUUAUAUGAGAUUCAAAUCUGUAGCCAUAAAUAAAGCUUCAUUCACACGGCAACACACACUUGUUUACAUGUGGUCUACUCUGUGCAACUCUGUAUCCUGAAAAAUUUGCUGGUGAAUG
ensembl:lncRNA